UGGGGAAUAUUGCGCAAUGGGGGAAACCCUGACGCAGCGACGCCGUGUGAGGGAAGAAGGCUUUCGGGUCGUAAACCUCUGUCAGAAAGGAAGAACCUCCCAAGUCCGAAUAGGGCUUGGGACUGACGGUACUUUCAAAGGAAGCACCGGCUAACUCCGUGCCAGCAGCCGCGGUAAUACGGAGGGUGCAAGCGUUAAUCGGAAUCACUGGGCGUAAAGCGCGCGUAGGCCGCUUUGUAAGUCGGACGUGAAAGCCCUCGGCCCAACCAGGGAACUGCGUUAGAUACUGCGCGGCUUGAAUCCUGGAGAGGGUGGAGGAAUUCCGGGUGUAGGAGUGAAAUCCGUAGAUAUCCGGAGGAACACCGGUGGAGAAGGCGGCCACCUGGACAGGUACUGACGCUGAGGCGCGAAAGCGUGGGGAGCAAACAG
rnacentral:rRNA from 1 species